GACAGCCAUGUUUUGACACAGCGCGCUAAAAAUAGCACGUUCUUAAUAGAAAAAAAACCCCAAAACAAAACAGAGUGCCAGUCAAAUCCAGACUGGCACGGGCGGGGAGGAGCAUUUCUUCCAAAGACAGUCCUGAGAACUGAACUGGGGGGGCAUGGUAAAUAAGAGCAGAGCGAUCGGUUGCAGGGCAAACCACUCAGAAUGUGAAACCGCUCGCAUCUCACGGAGACCGUGAUCCCACCUGACACGCGUGUGUCAUGCAAGGCCAUGCAGCCGUGUACGAUUAACAAACUAAAGCAAUUAAGAAUCAGCAUGAGCAACUUCACAGCUCUGUUAUGUAAUUCUCCAGCCUGUGGGGCUGUGUGUUAGGAAGAUGGCGGCAGACAGGCCUGUUGUGUUUUCUGCAGCACAUAUAUGGCCAUUAAUCACGCUCGGUCUCUUUGCUCUUUUUCUAUUUCCAGCGAAGCGGCGGCCCGAGGGCGGCGGACCUACGGCACUGCAGCACGUGCAGGCUGGACUUCAGCAUCGCUGCAAAUGUCACACAGUGUUAGCACGCUCACUGCAGGGCAGCCUACGCUGCAGGGACUUUUUUUUCCUCCCACAUGGCGAGACACCGCGAGUGAUGCUGAAGCCCGUGGCCAUAACGACCGACAGGCCAGACUGGAGAUGAAGGCGGCCGGUGUCAGCAGGCUCGGACACACCCGACCCUGGAGGAGACUGGAAAGGACUCUCUCUGCGAUCGCAGAUAAGGCUGUGAUAAACCAGAUCUCAGCAUCCUGAGUGUGCCGCUAUCUGGCAAGACUGUAGAGAAAGUACUGACUUUCACACGUGACGACGAGAAACUUCGUGGGAUUUAAUCAACACCAAGCAGAAGACGCUCUUCUUGUGUCAGCUACAUGUGAGAAUCCGCCCUGCAUCCUCGAGCUGAGGGGACAUCCAGAGUACAGCCAGAGAAACGCAAGUCAUUUUGGGCUGUUUAGAUUUUAAAAAGUAAGUUAAACCUCUGCCUUAAAUAUGCAGCUGCCUCUUUUUGUGCAGCUGAUUGCUAAG